AACGAACGCUGGCGGCAGGCCUAACACGUGCAAGUCGAGCGGGGGAGCAAUCCCUAGCGGCGGACGGGUGAGUAACGCGUGGGAACGUGCCCCUUGGUACGGAAUAGCCCUGGGAAACUGGGAGUAAUACCGUAUGAGCUCUACGGAGGAAAGAUUUAUCGCCAAGGGAUCGGCCCGCGUUGGAUUAGGUAGUUGGUGGGGUAAUGGCCUACCAAGCCGACGAUCCAUAGCUGGUUUGAGAGGAUGAUCAGCCACACUGGGACUGAGACACGGCCCAGACUCCUACGGGAGGCAGCAGUGGGGAAUCUUAGACAAUGGGCGCAAGCCUGAUCUAGCCAUGCCGCGUGAGCGAUGAAGGCCUUAGGGUUGUAAAGCUCUCUCGUGGGGGAAGAUAAUGACUGUACCCCAAGAAGAAGCCCCGGCUAACUCCGUGCCAGCUGCCGCGGUAA
rnacentral:rRNA from 1 species